GCGGGUGUAGUUCAAUGGUAGAACGCCAGCUUCCCAAGCUGGACACGAGGGUUCGAUUCCCUUCACCCGC
rnacentral:tRNA from 1 species